rnacentral:rRNA from 1 species
CGUGUAGGUGGUUUGGUAAGUCGGAUGUGAAGUCCUAAGGCUCAACCUUGGAACUGCAUUCGAAACUUCCAGACUAGAGUCCAGGAGAGGAAAGUGGAAUUUCCAGUGUAGGAGUGAAAUCCGUAGAUAUUGGAAGGAACACCAGUAGCGAAAGCGACUUUCUGGCCUGGUACUGACACUCAGACGCGAAAGCGUGGGGAGCAAACA